rnacentral:rRNA from 3 species
GGGCGUGCUAAUCUGCGAUAAGCGCCGGUAAGGUGAUAUGAACCGUUAUAACCGGCGAUACCCGAAUGGGGAAACCCAGUGUGACUCGUCACACUAUCAUUAACUGAAUCCAUAGGUUAAUGAGGCGAACCGGGGGAACUGAAACAUCUAAGUACCCCGAGGAAAAGAAAUCAACCGAGAUUCCCCCAGUAGCGGCGAGCGAACGGGGAGGAGCCCAGAGCCUGAAUCAGCAUGUGUGUUAGUGGAAGCGUCUGGAAAGGCGCGCGAUACAGGGUGACAGCCCCGUACACAAAAGCGCAUGUGCUGUGAGCUCGAUGAGUAGGGCGGGACACGUGGUAUCCUGUCUGAAUAUGGGGGGACCAUCCUCCAAGGCUAAAUACUCCUGACUGACCGAUAGUGAACCAGUACCGUGAGGGAAAGGCGAAAAGAACCCCGGCGAGGGGAGUGAAAAAGAACCUGAAACCGU